GCCUUCUCUCUCAUCAGCAAUAAAAACCCAUAAAUGCGAUGGCAUCCUCUCUAUACCCUCUGCAAUAACUCCUCCAUCUUCUCCACCUGUUCCUCUUUUCUUCUCCCUUCUUCACCUCCCCCGUCACUACUCUCUUCUCUCUCUUUUCAUUUUUAUAUCUGUCCCCUUUUAUUUCCCUUUCAUUUCCAUGUCCUCACUGCUGUUCUUAAAUUCUAGUCACAAGAAAGGCAUCCUUCGAAAUAAACCUCAAAACCACUCUUUACAGUACUAACCAAAUUCUGCUUUUUCAUCAACCCGAUUGACCUUAAAACCUGAUCUAACCUGCUUUGCUCUUCUCUAACCCUAGAACCUUAUUAAGGUUUUCCAGGGUUUCUAUUAACUUUCAAGAAAAGUAAGUUACUCAAGCAUGUGCAGCGCACAAACCCACACACACACACACCUGCAUCUAGUACUCUUUAUUUUCGAAACAGUAAGUUUCAUUUUCUGUGAUUAAUUUGGUUAAUUUUGUUUUAUCCGUUAUGUUUUUUUGCAGGAGGAAGAACAGCCGAGUAAAACUCCACCGGAAUACUCGUGGGCGUUAAAUUAAAAUGCCAGAUUGAAGAUUUUCUCAGUGUCAAAGGCUUCAAAACCCAGUCAACUCCGUGUUGUGCAUUUCAGUCCUGGAAUUGGCAUGUAAGGACAGAUGAAAAAAGUCUUUGCUUCAAAAGUCAUUAACCAAAAUUAAGUAAUUUCAAGUCUGUUGUUUGUUGGUUGUUGUUUGAUGUAACCAUCCUUGUUUUCCUCUGACACUGAAACUGAAUCUAUUAAAUUCAACGCGCUAUCUUCUAAAAACCAAAAAAACUGUACCUCUUAGAUAGAGACAGAGAGAAGUUUCUAAGGUUUCUUUGUGAAGAUUUGUAGCUUCAAGGGAAUACAAGAAGGCCUCAUGGCAUGAAUUUUCAGGCAAGUCUGAAAACCAACAAAAAAGGUCGGCGGAUAAAAAAUUUUAAAAAAAAUUAAAAAAAGACUUUAAAUUUUUCCGGCCUAAGCUACGAGGAGUAUGAGAAUUCUGAUGAACAGUUCCAAGAAUAAUUAAUUCUCUUGUCAAGUAUUUAUGAUAUACUGUUUUGUGUGAAGAGUCAACCAUUUCAUUUUCUCUUGGAAUUCCCUUUAAGAUCUGAUUAGACCAUGAACUAGGGCAUAAAAGUAAUUCCAGUGAAAUCAUUCCCGGAAAAAACGCCAAAGCACUUUCUCACACAUUACACACACUCUCAAAGUUCACAAUAUCUGAGUCUUAAUAUCAUUCCUUUAUUUCAUAAUCACAUGUCCAUAUUUCCAUUUGGGUUCUCUUUGCUUUUUCUUUUUCUUGAUACAUUGCUUCGCUUAAUUUUUUUUUGUUCUUUUCUUUUUGCAGCUGAUUGCAAAUUUUUAAGUUAGUAACUAAAGAACAUCAAGAUGUUUCAGUCAAACAUGUUUGAUAGCCAUCAUUCCUUGCUGGAUAUUAGCCAUAGGACACCCGAAAAUGAGAUGGGCCUCAUUAGGGAUGAUGAAUAUGAGAGCAAAUCGGGGACUGAAAUCAUGGAAGCACCCUCUGGUGACGAUGGAGAUCCCAAUCAACGCCCCAAAAAGAAGCGCUAUCAUCGCCACACCCAGCGUCAAAUCACUGAAAUGGAAGCGUAAGGAGUGCCCAGCAAAAUUAAAUUAUUAAGAGAUACAUUGAGAUAUACUUAACGAAAUAAAUAUAUUUAUUUUCACUAAAUUUAUUAAUUUACAGGUUUUUUAAGGAAUGCCCUCACCCGGAUGAUAAACAAAGGAAAGAGCUUGGUCGUCGAUUAGGGUUGGAGCCUUUACAAGUUAAAUUUUGGUUCCAAAACAAGCGUACUCAAAUGAAGGUAAAGUGUUCAUCUUUCAGAAUUCUCAGGCUUAAAAUUUUCACCCAUGUUUAUCCGUAUAUUAGUACAUUAACUAUUGAGCACAUAAAUGGGAAGUUUAACUGUAAAGGAUUAAAUAUUUUCAGUCUCAACAUGAGCGGCACGAGAACACACAGCUGAGGAAUGAAAACGAUAAGCUACGUUCAGAUAAUAUAAGGUAUAAGGAAGCUCUCAGCAAUGCUACUUGUCCCAACUGUGGAGGACCAGCUUCCGUUGGCGAGAUGUCAUUUGAUGAGCAGCACUUGAGGAUAGAGAAUGCUCGCUUAAGAGAGGAGGUAAUAAGAGCAGACUUGAGACACUUGUAUUAGGAAUAUUGCUUUUUAGUAUGUGUCAAAAGAUUCUUGCUUUAAUGAGAUAGUGCGUUUGGAAAUUUCUAAUCAUUUUGAUCCACAGUUAAAUAAAUGAUUAAGCAAAAAAAUUAGCCUGUAAGUGUUUUUAUAUGUACUUUUGAACUUAUGUACAUGGGUACUCUCUUUUCAGAUUGAUAGGAUUUCUGGAAUUGCUGCAAAGUAUGUUGGCAAACCUUUGCUUUCUUAUGCACAUCUUCCUCCUGGAUCAUCUCGUUCACUUGAUCUUGGACCGGGAAAUUAUGGGCUGCAGACCGGCAUGGACAAUGAGUUAUUUGGUGCGGCUGAUCUUCUUAGGUCGGUCUCCGGACCAGCUGAUGCCAACAAGCCCAUGGUCAUUGAGUUGGCUGUUGCAGCAAUGGAGGAAUUAAUCCGAAUGGCUCAAACUGGAGAGCCUUUGUGGAUGCCUAGCACGGACAAUUCUGCUGAGACUUUGAGUGAAGAGGAAUAUGUCCGCACUUUCCCUCGUCUUAUUGGGCCAAAGCCCUUGGGAUUGAAAUCUGAGGCAUCUCGAGAGUCAGCUAUUGUGAUAAUGAAUCACAUCAGCUUGAUUGAAAUUCUGAUGGAUGUGGUGGGAUUUCUUACAUGCAUAUAUGGAAAUCAUUAUAUAAUUUAUUUAUUUUUUAAUUUCAUUUUAAUCAGCAUUUUUGGUGUCAUUGUGAUUACAGAAUCAAUGGACAAGCGUGUUCUCCAGCAUUGUCUCAAGAGCAAUGAUUGUUGAAGUUUUAUCAACUGGAGUGGCUGGCAACUAUAAUGGAGCUUUACAAGUGGUAUGCAUAAAAAUUUUAUCUUGGAGAUUGCUAUUCUUCACCGCUUAAGCAAGGACAUUUUAUCGGAAACUCUUAGAAAUUGUUAAUCCUAAUGCUUUUAUCUUUGUAGAUGACUGCUGAGUUCCAGGUCCCUUCUCCAUUGGUUCCAACUCGCGAAAACUAUUUUGCAAGAUAUUGCAAACAACAUGGUGAUGGAACUUGGGCUGUGGUGGAUGUUUCUUUGGACAACCUGAGAGCUACCUCUAUACCCAGGUGUAGACGAAGGCCAUCUGGUUGUUUGAUCCAAGAAUUGCCAAAUGGUUACUCAAAGGUAUAACAAAUUCUUGAGUUAAAAUUUCAAUUUAAAUAAAUAUAGGUCUCUAUGUUACUAGUGAUCAUGCUCCUAUCUGCAGGUUAUAUGGGUGGAACACAUUGAGGUAGACGAUAGAGCUGUUCAUACAAUCUACAAACCACUGGUCAAUUCUGGUCUCGCAUUUGGGGCAAGACGCUGGGUAGCGACUUUGGAUAGACAAUGUGAACGUCUUGCAAGUGUAAUGGCCAAUAACAUUUCAGGAGGAGAUGGUGGUGGUACUAACAGAUUCCAAAUUUUACUGUAAAAUGUUAGUUGACAUGAUUUUUUUAGCCUGUGCUAAUUUGUGUAAUUUCUGGUGCAGUGAUAUCAUGUCCAGAAGGUAGAAAGAGUAUGUUGAAGCUGGCAGAAAGAAUGGUAAUGAGCUUCUGCUCUGGGGUCGGUGCUUCAACUGCACACACAUGGACUACACUUUCAGGAAGUGGAGCUGAUGAUGUUAGGGUUAUGACCAGAAAAAGUGUGGAUGAUCCAGGCAGGCCUCCUGGUAUUGUGCUAAGUGCUGCUACAUCAUUUUGGCUCCCAGUUCCGCCAAAAAGAGUUUUUGAUUUUCUUCGUGAUGAGAAUUUGAGAAAUGAGGUAUGGAAUGUUUGUUCAAGACCUUGAAUUUAAAUGUCCAAGUCAAUCUUUGAUGUCACAUUACUUCUGCAGCUCCUAUGAUCAAGUGAAAUACUAAAAAUACAUGGAUUCUUAAAUCGUACUAGGGAAACAAAUAAUCACACGAUCGUCACUAUAUAUUACAGGAUAUGACAGAAAAUAUCCUUAUAUGAGAAAUUAAACAAAAUUUCCUCUACUCUUUGCAAUUUUAGAAGCUUAUUCGAGUGUUUACAAGGAUUCUUGAAGAAAUUACUAACAUUUUAUAUUAUAUAACAAUUACAGUGGGAUAUUCUCUCUAACGAAGGCCUUGUUCAAGAAAUGGCACAUAUUGCAAAUGGCCGUGAUCCGGGCAAUUCUGUCUCAUUACUACGUGUCAAUGUAAGUUGUUGAUAUAUCUUUUGAGCAGUUUAUAAUCCAAUCAUUGGUACCAGAACUUCCCCCAAAUGACUGGAUUGUUCCUUAUAAUCUGUUGAAAAUGUAAUCUGCAGAGUGCAAACUCAAGCCAAAGCAAUAUGCUAAUUUUACAAGAGAGUUGUACAGAUUCAACAGGCUCCUAUGUUAUAUAUGCUCCAGUUGAUAUUAUUGCCAUGAAUGUGGUCUUAAGUGGAGGCGAUCCAGACUAUGUUGCCCUCUUACCAUCUGGUUUUGCUAUACUUCCUGAUGGACCUAUAAAUCCAGCUGGAGGGAUUAAUCCCGAGGUUGGGUCUGGUGGAUCAUUACUGACUGUCGCCUUUCAGAUAUUGGUAGAUUCAGUUCCAACAGCAAAACUUUCUCUUGGUUCAGUGGCAACUGUUAAUAGCCUUAUCAAGUGCACCGUAGAAAGGAUCAAGGGUGCUUUGCUGUGCGAAGGUGCAUGACCAAAAGGUCUGCUUCCUGGUAAGCCUUUCUUUUUAAACUUAUUCUUGGAUUUGACAAGUAAUUAUUCUACCUUAUGCCCUGUUCUGAAAGAUAUCCCCUUAGAGCUUUCCAUGCCUGAAAGCAGGAAAUAUUUAUUUAGAUGGAAAUGUGAUAAAUUUUAUAAGUACAUGCUGUACUCCUAAAUAAACCAACCUUUGAUAUUGCAAAAAAAAAGUAGACAGACAUGAAAACUGAUUUUACAUUUUAAAAUCUACUUCUGGUUAGUGCUACAACUAUCUGUUAAAUAUUUGAUCAACCAUAAACGAAGCAUCUUCCUUUUUUUUCGCCUAAAUCUUGACAGUCGCUACGUCCUUAAAAACAGUUUCUUCAUUCUGACAUCAUUUUUUGACUGUCUUAUGUUGCAGUUUAGACUUGAAACGAAGAGCAAAUGGGAAAGAAGAAUAUGUUUACCGUAGGAUGUGGGAGGAAGGAAAGAAGUCAAGAACGCACCUUGUAUAAUCCUUGCUGUGUAGUGUUAAUUAUCUUGGAUGAAGAAACAUACUGAGUUUCACCACUCAGCAAGAUUAAUAUAGGUUCGGGUAUUGACUUUGUCCAUAAUUAUAAAGUAAACAAAGUCCUCCUUGAAUUGUAUUAAACUAUUUUGUACCUUUGUUUUGCAUCAAGUUUAGGGUUUUUUUUCCCUUUUAUUAUCAAGUCAUUUCUUUUGGAUGAGAUUUAGUUAGAAGACAGUGGAACCUCAAUCUGCUGUGUCUUAACAGUGGUUUCCCUUUUAAGUGAACUUUUGCUUCAGUAAUAAUUAAGCUCUCGUUUUCUUGAUUGAUA
rnacentral:lncRNA from 1 species